GGCGGGGCGAGGAGUCGUGCGGGUAGUUGGGACGGAUGGUGGUGUGUGGUUUUAUCGCGAGUCGUUUGAGGAAAGACAGCUCAGAGACUGAGGUUUUAGCCCAAGCGCUACAUGUUUGGAAGACGGCAAUCAACAGGCUCAGAAUACCGAAAAAGCGUCACAAGAUUAUUUGACAACGUCUUCCGAAGGCACUCCGUUCCCAGUGACGAUGCCGCCCCCUGCUGGCAAGACACUAGCGACAUUAGGCGGCACCGACGAGCAACGCUGGACAUCGCCCUCAACAUCGCCCGUCUGCCCGACGUGGAAGAAGUGGAC